ACUGCUUCGAUUGCUGUUUGGUCUCUGGUGUAUAGUGGUGGACCCACGUCUCGUCCAUAGUUACAAAUCUGUCCAAAAAGUCUUGAGUAUCGGCUUCAUACAGGUCUAGACAUUCACGUGAAUUAGUACGGCGAGCGAUUUUUUGUUCCACUGAAAGAAGCCUCGGGACCCAUCUCGCCGACACCUUGGAAAAACCUAAUUCGUUGACUAUAAUACGAGGGUGGGAUGAUAAGUAACUGGCCUAAGUAGAAAAUACUUGAAUUUCGGUGUUAAAACUAAUUUUAUUUUUCGACAUAGUCUCCACCUAGCUCUAUGCACUUAUUCCAUCUUCGCUCUAAAGCUGCGAUGCCCUCCAUAAAAUGAUUCUUUUCGAGGCCUGCAAAAUACUCCUCCACAGCGGCUAUGACGGCAUCAUUAGUGGCAAAUUUCUGUCCACCCAAAAAAGUUUUAAGCUUCGGGAACAGGUGGAAGUCGGAUGGUGCCAGAUCAGGCGAAUAAGGUGGAUGGGGCAGCAAAUCAUACUUUAAUUCGCCGAUUUUUGCCAUGGCUUUAACACAUGUGUGAACCCUAGCGUUGUCUUGAUGGAAGAUGUUUUUUUUUUUGCUAAGCCUGGUCGUUUUUGAUGAAUGCAUUGAUGAAGCUUAUCUAAAAGAUUAGCAUAGUAUUCCCCAUUAAUAGUUUUACCUUUGGGAAGGUAGUCUAUCAUCAAAAUUCCACUAGCAUCCCAAAAGACGGAAGCCAUAACUUUUCCAGCCGACUUUACAGCCAUAGCUUUUUUGGGACCCGAACAUCCAGAUUCAGUCCACUGUUUUGAUUGAAUUUUUGAUUCUGGCGUGUAGUGGUGAACCCAUGUUUCAUCUGUUGUUACAAAUCGACGCAAAAAAUCAGCUUUAUUUUUCUGAAAACGAUCCAAACAUUCUUCCGAAUUUUGCACGCGGAUUCUUUUUUGAUCGUGCGUAAGCAAUCGCGGCACCCAACGGGCGGAUAACUUUUUCAUAUUUAAUUCUUCACUUAGAAUAUGAUGUACCCGUUCCUUUGAUAUCCCUGUAGUGUCAGCUAUUUCUGAUAACUUCAAUCGUCGAUCUGCCAAAACCAUAUCGUGCACUUUGGAGACCAUUUCCGGAGUUGUGGCACUUUUUGGACGUCCAGAGCGGGCUUCAUCUUGGACACUUGUACGGCCUCGUUUAAAUUCAGCCACCCAGUUUUUUACUGUGGCGUGAGAAAGAGCACAUUCACCUAAAACAUUCUUUAACUCUUCAUAAAUACCUAUCCCCUUCAUACCCUUCAUGUAAAGAAACUUUAUCACCGCUCUUUGUUCAAUUUUAUCCAUUUUGAAAACAAUCGUCACAAUAUAUUUUCAAAUAACAGAAAAUCGAUAAAAUAUUUAAGCCAUCAAAUUUAAAUUUCGAACACAGAUAGCCAGAGACACGAAGCUUAAAUUACGCUAGUUUAUUUUUAAAUUCAAACUUUUUAAAUAGCUAAGGCCAGUUACUUAUCAUCCCGCCCUCGUAUAUCAUAAGAGAUGCCUACGAUGUCAGCUAUUUCCCGCACCUUUAAUCGCCGGUCUUUCAUUAUCAUUUCGCAUAUAAUUGCCACAUUGUCCGUGUUAGUCACCGUUGUUCAAUGCCGGAUUUAGAGGUCUGGAGGCCUCGGGCAAUAAAGGAGUGGAGGCCCCCUGGCCCCAAAAUUUUUCCAAAUAAAAUGGUAAAUUUACCAAAUUCUCUAUUGUGGGGCCCCUCUUUUGUGGAGGCCCGGGGCAGUAGCCCCGGUUGCCCUCCCCUAAAUCCGGCCCUGCCGUUGUUGGCCUCCCGGGACGAGGGUCAUCUGCGAUACUAUCUCGUCCACGCUUGAAUUCAGCUGCCCAUUUUUUCACCAUCGUAUAUGAUGGACAGGAUUGCCCUAAUGUACUUUGCAUAUCAUCAUAAAUUUGCUUCUGUGUCAAUCCUUUUUUAUGCAGGUAUUUAAUCACAGCACGCUGCUCUAAUUUCUCCAUUUUCACGAUAUCUACCGACACGUAACUUUAAAUAUGCCGUAAAAUUGCUUUUAAAUAUAGACGCCAAUUGAAAUUUCGCGGGAAAACAAUUGAAUAAUGACAGUUUAAAAUGGCGGCAGAAAAAAGUAAAAAGUUUUUUUUUAAUUGGCCAGGCCGCGAAUUUUUCAAUCAACCCUCGUAGCACUAACCUCGUAAGGCCCAAGGUCCUACCUAUAGGACUUAUUCAGUUCGAUUAAAUUUAAAUCAUAUUCAAUUAGGACAGAGUUGCAUUUGUUUUAUUUCGUGCAAUUUCCAAACAAAAUAAAAUCAACUAUAUUCCGUGCACUAUAGGUUUAAAUUCCAGUGGCAAAUUUUGGAUUUUUCAUUUCUAUGGCUGGGCCUUAAGAGGCUAAAAUAGCAUAAGGGUCAUUAAUUUCAGUAGUAAAUUGAUAUAAUUACUACACAAUGGUAUCUUUUUAACAUUGGCAACAUGUGCGAGUGAGACACAGGGCUCUAGUGAUUAUAUGCUCUUUGGGCUCUGGUUUUGCUAUUUCAAGUGGACCGUUUUCUCUAGUCUGGUACGAACACCUUUCUGGCUCGGUGAUAAGGUUCAAUUUGGUAUGGCAAGAAGUCAUUGCGCUCUCCACUUUAAUAUAAACCUUUCAUGGCCACAGCUCGUGAGCUCCUCUAACUAAUGUACACUGUCCCGCGGCUUGGCUCGCCACUCGCACGCGAAUGUAAAUACACCUUUAGAAUAAUUUGGUCUUUAUCGCGAUAACCGCGUACCGUUAGGCCACAGAACAAGAACGCCGAGAACCAGUAGCGCUAUCUGUUCCAGUCAGCGCUCACUACUAAUGUCCAUAUUUGUUGCUAGAUGACGCUGCUAUGACAUUCACGACACGUGACCGCUCCUACACAGGUCCGACGCGCGACUGACUGACCGGCGACGACACAGGCGAGUUUGAAAACGAAGAUGGCGCGGGCUUCCACACGCGUUCUGUGAUUGGCCGAGACAGUCCGCCAUUAACUAAUUGUGACUAGCAUGUGGAAAAUAUUGUCAAUUACAAUAUUCGAUA